rnacentral:rRNA from 1 species
GGCGGCAUGCCUUACACAUGCAAGUCGAACGGCAGCACGGGGGCAACCCUGGUGGCGAGUGGCGAACGGGUGAGUAAUACAUCGGAACGUGUCCUGUAGUGGGGGAUAGCCCGGCGAAAGCCGGAUUAAUACCGCAUACGAUCUACGGAAGAAAGCGGGGGAUCGCAAGACUUCGCGCUAUAGGGGCGGCCGAUGGCAGAUUAGCUAGUUGGUGGGGUAAAGGCCUACCAAGGCGACAAUCUGUAGCUGGUCUGAGAGGACGACCAGCCACACUGGGACUGAGACACGGCCCAGACUCCUACGGGAGGCAGCAGUGGGGAAUUUUGGACAAUGGGGGAAACCCUGAUCCAGCAAUGCCGCGUGUGUGAAGAAGGCCUUCGGGUUGUAAAGCACUUUUGUCCGGAAAGAAAACUUCUGCCCUAAUACGGUGGGANGAUGACGGUACCGGAAGAAUAAGCACCGGCUAACUACGUGCCAGCAGCCGCGGUAAUACGU